rnacentral:rRNA from 1 species
AGUAACCUGCCUUGGAGUGGGGGAUAACACAGUGAAAAUUGUGCUAAUACCGCAUAAUGCAUUUGGAUCGCAUGGUUCUGAAUGCCAAAGAUUUAUCGCUCUGAGAUGGACUCGCGUCUGAUUAGCUAGUUGGCGGGGCAACGGCCCACCAAGGCGACGAUCAGUAGCCGGACUGAGAGGUUGGCCGGCCACAUUGGGACUGAGACACGGCCCAG